CACCACCCUGAGAGACAGAAGUAAAAUCAGUUGGUGUUUCACCAUUUCUCCAGCACUCGAGACUGAAGCGCACGCAUAAUCAAUACAUUUCUGUUGAAGUGAAGAAACCCCUAGUUGGGUUUUUGCUGCAGAAAACCCAGGGUCAUCACUGUAACUUUGAUACCCUCACUCAGAAGCCUAUCAUGAGGACACUUAGACUAGUUCAAAAGUGACCCAAGCAGGAAUGGGACCUCGAAAGAAGAGAAUGCACAAAAGAGGGCCUCACAAAGGGUCUACCCAAAUAGCAGAGAGUUUCAGGAGCAAGGUGUGGCAGGGGCAGGGGCGUGGAGAUGCCAGACGCUCUCUCAGGUCUCUCUUGCCUGGGGAGAUUAAUGCACUAGGAGCCAGGGCUUGUUUGCAUAGUUGGAGAAAACCACUGUGAAGCCACCGUUUGUUUCCACAGGAAUCAUGGGGCAGAUCCAGUGGUCAUGCCAUCUGUGGGAGGCCAGGAAAGACCUCGCUCCUUAGGAAUCAGGCUCCACAGACCUCUCAGGUCAACCAAGAAAAUGUAAGGAAACUCCCCUCCUGAUGCCCCCAUUUUCACGCAUCUCUCAGGUGAGCCCGGUGAAAGACUUGGGGAGUAGCCCUGUUGUCAUAGGCUGCUCCCCUCAUCCCAGCCUGGUCUGUGGAUAUCUAGUUGCCUUUGGUUGUGGGAUCUGGAGACAUCACAUCGCCUCCUGGUGAAAGGCUCCAAACUCACCCCUCCUCACAGGGAUGAAGCUGGACCAUGCUGACUGAACCCAGGCUGAUGGGGCUUCUGGUAACUCCAAAAGGAAGGCUCCAUGGGGGGAAGGAGGGAGGGUGGGAUGGGCUGGAAUGUGGCAGCGUUUCUAACGUCUCACCAGUUCCUGCCCAGGGCUCAGUGGUGAGGAUGCUAUCUAUCUGCCCCAAAUGGUCACUCCUUAGUAGUUCUGUUCCCAAGAGAAGGCUUUCUUGGCCUCCACCACAGGAAAGACUGCACAGAAGUGGAGUGUAGCCUCUCUAGUUGACUUCACCACAGCUCUUCCUUAGAUGGGCACCUUCCUGGGGGAUGAUGGAGAUGGGGUGGGGGUAAUGACCAUGCUCAUUUGGCUGACAGGAAUUCCAUAUAGACAGAGGUGGGGUAACGUGCCUGAAGCCACAGGCACUCUGGCAGAGCCAGAGACCAGGAGUCACCACCAUGGCUGCAGUCUGUGGUCUUUGUUUCAGAUUCUAAUACCUGAAGUGGCUACAGAACUGGCCUUCCCUGGGAUAGGUUUCAAUGCUCAGAAAUGACCAUGAGUGUUGUUUCCCCUCUAGUGCUAGGAAUGGACUCCAGCAGCACCACAGAAUCACAGCAACAUCUAAGGGAGUCACUGUUUCUUCACAUAUGCUGAACUUUGAAAACAAGUCAUCAUAAUAGCUACAGUUUACUCAGUACCUACACGUGCCAGCCACCAUGCCACCACUUCGCAUAUACUGCCUCUAAAGCCCCUACAAUCCUGAGCUAAGGAUGAUCGUAUCCCCAACUGCAGAUGACAAUGCUGAAGCUCAGAGGCCACUCAACUUGCCUGGAAUCCUACAGCAAGAGAGAAGGCAAGGAUGGUGGAAAGAAUGUAUGUUACCAUGCAACAGGCAAUGUGCUGAUACACGAUCUCAGAAUACUCACAACGACCCUGUGAGGAAGACGCAAUCAUCCCUCUUCCACAGGGGAGGAGACUGAUGCCCGCGGAGGUGCCAGCAUCAAGUGGAGCAUGCGCUGCCCACUGCCAGCUGAGAACACUCAAUGCUCCAAUUGUCUCUAAGGAAAAGAUAUUUAUAAGGAAAGGCUGGAGCCAAAGGCUGAGGGAAGGAUUCCAGCAUCAGGACCCUGCAUGGAUGACUUGGCUGAGACCACGAAGAUCCCUGCUCCAUCCUGAAUGACCUCCACGUACAUCCCCAACCCCCACCGAAGCUGCCAGGCCACUCAGCUCCUCACAUAUUGAACACAGUCCCUAAGGCAGCUUGUGGUAUCCACUUCCACUGGGAAAGACUCAAUGGCUUCCUUCGUCCUGUCUUCAAACUUGUCAUAAAGCAGAUGCCGCUCAAAUCUAACAGCUGCUCUAAGGGCACACUCAAAGGGUGUUCCCUGACCAGUGGGAACAUUCUUCUUGAUAACUGAGAGGCCUUGGGUGACAGGACUACGGCAAGACAAAGACGCAAGCAUGAAAGGGCAUCAAGGGUAAAAUGGCCCUAGGGAAACCACAUGGGACUUGAAUUGGAAAGCACCAAGAGCCUCACUCCUUUCCCUGGAUUGUAUAACUUCAUGAAGUUCUAAUUUGGAGAAGAACUGACUCCUUAUCCACCUGCCACAGAGAAAGUAUUAAUAAAAUAUAAGGCUAGGGUCUAGGAGAAGCGGCCCAGGAAAGCCAUCAUGCAAAUUUUGCUUCCUUCCUACUUAGAGGGUUGGGGACGAGAGGUCCUUCCUUCUCUGGCUCGUAAGCACAUGAGUUGCAUAAAACACUGUCCGAGAAGGCAGAAUAUAAGCCCUCUGUUCUGCAUGAAAUUCAUAUUCUUGAAAGACUUAGCAUAUAAAUCAAAUUUUACCUGCCAGAGAAGCUGGUUUUUCAAAAUAAAUUUGAAGUCAAUCCUAUGUUUAUACA